rnacentral:lncRNA from 1 species
CGGGAGGACAUCACCUAUACCUACAAGUACCCAGAGGGGUCCCCAGAGGAGAGGGAAGUCUUCACCAGAGCCAACCACCUGAACAAACUGGCAGAGAAAGAGGAGACAGGGGUGGCCAUGCGGAUCCGAGUGGGGGAUGGUAUGAGCUUGGGCAAUGACUUUGACGUGUUUGCCCACAUCGGCAACGACACCUCGGAGAGCCGUGAGUGCCGCCUCCUGCUCUGUGCCCGCACUGUCAGCUACAACGGCGUGCUGGGGCCCGAGUGUGGCACUGAGGACAUCAACCUGACCCUGGAUCCCUACUCUGAGAACAGCAUCCCCCUUCGCAUCCUCUACGAGAAGUACAGCGGUUGCCUGACCGAGUCAAACCUCAUCAAGGUGCGGGGUCUCCUCGUCGAGCCAGCUGCUAACAGCUACCUGCUGGCUGAGAGAGAUCUCUACCUGGAGAAUCCUGAAAUCAAGAUCCGGGUAAGGAGCAGAUGGGGCCUCAGGACAGAGCUCCCACCUACACACACCUGCUUCUCUCUCUGCAACCUUUCUGUGCCUUGUGGUCCUUAUGGAAGGAAGGCAUCAUAAAGAUAAGAGAAUGCAGGACUUGAAGCUCCUAUGAAGGGUGACUAGAGCCUGGGGUGGAGAGUGUGGUGUCUGGGUCUGGGACUUAGGUAACUUUAAAGGGCCAGUACCCACCUUGGUGUUGCUGCUGCAGUCAAAGGGUAGCA